CACGUAGGGUGCGAGCGUUGUCCGGAAUUAUUGGGCGUAAAGAGCUCGUAGGCGGUGUGUCACGUCGGCCGUGAAAACCUGCAGCUUAACUGUGGGCGUGCGGUCGAUACGGGCAUCACUGGAGUUCGGCAGGGGAGACUGGAAUUCCUGGUGUAGCGGUGAAAUGCGCAGAUAUCAGGAGGAACACCGGUGGCGAAGGCGGGUCUCUGGGCCGAUGCUGACGCUGAGGAGCGAAAGCGUGGGGAGCAAACAGG
rnacentral:rRNA from 1 species